GUGUCAGCAGCCGCGGUAAUACGUAGGUGGCGAGCGUUGUCCGGAUUUACUGGGCGUAAAGGGCGUGCAGGCGGUUUGUUAAGUCCAGGGUGAAAGCUCCCGGCUCAACUGGGAGAGGUCCUUGGAUACUGGCAGACUUGAGGUGGGUAGAGGAAAGUGGAAUUCCCGGUGUAGUGGUGAUAUGCGUAGAUAUCGGGAGGAACACCAGUGGCGAAGGCGGCUUUCUGGACCCAACCUGACGCUGAGACGCGAAAGCGUGGGGAGCGAACCGGAUUAGAUACCCCAGUAGUCC
rnacentral:rRNA from 1 species